rnacentral:lncRNA from 1 species
GUGGAAAAUAGCUCGCUAAACUUGGCCAGGGCUGUCUCUUGAGAGCGGAGAGUUGCAGACUUUGCCCACAAGCUGUUCCUUUGCCAUAAGGAUAAUGUUAGUCAUACAAGGGGACAUCUGCAGAGCCACAGUGACAGGUUAUCUAAAUGGGCUGGUCAUUAAGUGUUGUUUGAAUGCUGCAGAACGAUGGGCAUUGGCUAAUGAUGGUAGAGGGAGCCCGAGGCAAGACUCGUCAGUCCUGAAGAAAGACUGGGUGAUGGUAAGAAUAACAAUUGGACAUACUCUCCAGGCCAUUAUGAUAUCAUCAGUGUAUUGGCCUACCUCCUAAAGCUCUCAUUACAACACAAACAUCUUCUUUUGUCUCCUACCCAUCUAUCAUUUUCAUUUCGGUGUAUUUUCCUGUCAUACCAGAGUAUGUUUUGUCCAGAGUGUUGCACUUUGUUUGAUUUGCUUUGUCCUUGUCUCUCUCUUCACUUGAAGCUGCUGACACCCAAGGUCAGUCUAACCAGUGAACGACUGAGCUGCUAUUCCACCAUCCCAUCAGUUUUGACUGCGGUUGAUGUUUUGUUGCUCUGCACUCCAGGAGGAGUGAACUUCUGCCAAGAUUGAAAUGAAGUACCACAGUCAGACGGCGCAAGUCUCAAAAGGUGAAUGAAAAAAAAAGGAGAAUAAAAGAAUUUGAUCGAAAAAUAUAGCAGGAGAGGAAGGAGCAAAAGGGCAUGUAAAAUAAUACAUUAAGG